rnacentral:rRNA from 1 species
UACGCUGGCGGAAUGCUUUCACAUGCAAGUCGAGCGGCAGCGCGGGGGCAACCCUGGCGGCGAGCGGCGAACGGGUGAGUAACACAUCGGAACGUACCCAGUUGUGGGGGAUAGCCCGGCGAAAGCCGGAUUAAUACCGCAUACGACCUGAGGGUGAAAGUGGGGGAUCGCAAGACCUCACGCAGUUGGAGCGGCCGAUGGCGGAUUAGCUAGUUGGUGGGGUAAAGGCUCACCAAGGCGACGAUCCGUAGCUGGUCUGAGAGGACGACCAGCCACACUGGAACUGAGACACGGUCCAGACUCCUACGGGAGGCAGCAGUGGGGAAUUUUGGACAAUGGGGGCAACCCUGAUCCAGCCAUUCCGCGUGAGUGAAGAAGGCCUUCGGGUUGUAAAGCUCUUUCGGCAGGAACGAAACGGCGGGCUCUAACAUAGCCUGUCAAUGACGGUACCUGAAGAAGAAGCACCGGCUAACUACGUGCCAGCAGCCGCGGUAAUACGUAGGGUGCGAGCGUUAAUCGGAAUUACUGGGCGUAAAGCGUGCGCAGGCGGUUAUGUAAGACAGAUGUGAAAUCCCCGGGCUUAACCUGGGAACUGCGUUUGUGACUGCAUAACUCGAGUGUGGCAGAGGGGGGUGGAAUUCCACGUGUAGCAGUGAAAUGCGUAGAGAUGUGGAGGAACACCGAUGGCGAAGGCAGCCCCCUGGGUUAACACUGACGCUCAUGCACGAAAGCGUGGGGAGCAAACAGGAUUAGAUACCCUGGUAGUCCACGCCCUAAACGAUGCGAACUAGGUGUUGGAGAAGGAGACUUCUUUAGUACCGUAGCUAACGCGUGAAGUUCGCCGCCUGGGGAGUACGGUCGCAAGAUUAAAACUCAAAGGAAUUGACGGGGACCCGCACAAGCGGUGGAUGAUGUGGAUUAAUUCGAUGCAACGCGAAAAACCUUACCUACCCUUGACAUGCCAGGAACCCUGCUGAGAGGUGGGGGUGCCCGAAAGGGAGCCUGGACACAGGUGCUGCAUGGCUGUCGUCAGCUCGUGUCGUGAGAUGUUGGGUUAAGUCCCGCAACGAGCGCAACCCUUGCCACUAGUUGCCAUCAUUGAGUUGGGCACUCUAGUGGGACUGCCGGUGACAAACCGGAGGAAGGUGGGGAUGACGUCAAGUCAUCAUGCCCCUUAUGUUCUGGGCUACACACGUGCUACAAUGGGUGUAACAACGGGAAGCAAGCUGGCAACAGCAAGCCAAUCCCUAAAAAGCACCCUCAGUUCGGAUUGUAGGCUGAAACCCGCCUACAUGAAGUUGGAGUUGCUAGUAAUCGCGAAUCAGCAUGUCGCGGUGAAUACGUUCCCGGGCCUUGUACACACCGCCCGUCACACCAUGGGAGUUAGAAGCACCCGAAGCCGGUGACUUAACCGUAAGGAGAGAGCCGUCGAAGGGAAGCNGCGACUGGG